UGGGGAAUCUUCCGCAAUGGGCGCAAGCCUGACGGAGCAACGCCGCGUGAGUGAAGAAGGUCUUCGGAUCGUAAAGCUCUGUUGAUGGGGACGAACGUGCCUAAUGCGAAUAGUAUUAGGUAAUGACGGUACCCAUCGAGGAAGCCACGGCUAACUACGUGCCAGCAGCCGCGGUAAUACGUAGGUGGCGAGCGUUGUCCGGAAUCAUUGGGCGUAAAGGGAGCGCAGGCGGGCAUGUAAGUCUUUCUUAAAAGUGCGGGGCUCAACCCCGUGAUGGGAAAGAAACUAUGUGUCUUGUGUACAGGAGAGGAAAGCGGAAUUCCCAGUGUAGCGGUGAAAUGCGUAGAUAUUGGGAGGAACACCAGUGGCGAAGGCGGCUUUCUGGACUGCAACUGACGCUGAGGCUCGAAAGCCAGGGGAGCGAACGGG
rnacentral:rRNA from 1 species